GGAUGUGAGGGUGAUCUGGCUGUGACAUCUGUCACCCCAUUGAUUGCUAGGGUUGAUUCAGCUGAUCUGGCUGGCUAGGUUGGUGUCCCUUCCUCCCUCACCACUCCAUGUGCAUCCCUCCUGAAGUCGUGUGCUUGGUCAAAGAGGACAACCUUCCCCAAUAGAGUAGGACUAUUCUUUGGUCAAGGGUAUACAAGUAGCUUUGCACCCCUGGUAGAACCUCCAAACAAGCUCUGAAAAGAACAUUUAUUGUAUACCUACUUUGUUCCAGAUACUACAGGCACAGUUGAUACAAAGAUGAGCAAACAGAGGUUGUGCACAUGGGUGGCAUUACCCAGAGAU
rnacentral:snRNA from 1 species